GAUGAAGAACGUAGCAAAAUGCGAUAAGUAAUGUGAAUUGCAGAAUUCAGUGAAUCAUCGAAUCUUUGAACGCACAUUGCGCCCGCCAGUAUUCUGGCGGGCAUGCCUGUUCGAACGUCAUUUCAACCCUCAAGCACAGCUUGGUGUUGGGACUCGCGUUAAUUCGCGUUCCUCAAAUUGAUUGGCGGUCACGUCGAGCUUCCAUAGCGUAGUAGUAAAACCCUCGUUACUGGUAAUCGUCGCGGCCACGCCGUUAAACCCCAACUUCUGAAUGUUGACCUCGGAUCAGGUAGGAAUACCCGCUGAACUUAAGCAUAUCAAUAAGCGGAGGA
rnacentral:misc_RNA from 1 species